AAUUUACAAUGAGUGAACAAAUUUACACGUUUUUUUAAAAAUUUACAAGUGUUCAAACAAAUUUACAAUGAGCGAACAAAAUUACAAGUUUUAAAACAAAUUUACGUUUAUUACGGAAAGGGUAGGUACAAUACGCUGACGUCACGCAUCUGAGCCUCCGGUGGGAGGAAACCCGGAAGUAUCGCCGUGAAUCACAUGAGAGUUGUGAAUGCGAUGUUGUGUAUUAGGCUGUACAUAAUAUUAACGGAAAGAGAGUGAUAAUAUAUAACCUUUCAUCGCUUCCGAAGUGACUAAAAGGGAUAUUGGACCUUAUUUUCAGAUUACAGACAACACGAGAGGGUGCUUCAAACUUUUUAAUCAGGACUGCAUUGUUUGUUCGCUCCCGGGGUUACAUAGACUGAAACGAGGAAGUGUGACGAGUUUGUUUACAUGGUGCUGUAAACUUCAACCCAGGAGGACACUUCAAAGGAAUCAAGGUGUCUGUGAUAUUGAAACACUAAAGGAAGAAGAGGAGGACCACCAUUCGUUUCCUGAGCAGAAAAAAAAUUAAGCAUAUCUAACAGUGGUUCUGGGGCAUUGCAAGACUAUGGUUACCUGGAAACAUCUCCUAUUAUGGAAGAUUAUCGCAACA